UACGUAGGGUGCGAGCGUUAAUCGGAAUUACUGGGCGUAAAGCGUGCGCAGGCGGUUCACCAAGUCAGGUGUGAAAUCCCCGGGCUUAACCUGGGAAUUGCGCUUGAAACUAGCGGGCUUGAGUGUGGCAGAGGGGGGUGGAAUUCCACGUGUAGCAGUGAAAUGCGUAGAGAUGUGGAGGAACACCGAUGGCGAAGGCAGCCCCCUGGGUCAACACUGACGCUCAUGCACGAAAGCGUGGGGAGCGAACAGG
rnacentral:rRNA from 1 species